GACGAACGCUGGCGGCGUGCUUAACACAUGCAAGUCGAACGGUGAAGCGCCUUCCUUUUUGGUGGGUGUGGAUGAGUGGCGAACGGGUGAGUAACACGUGAGUAACCUGCCCCCUUCUUCUGGAUAACCGCAUGAAAGUGUGGCUAAUACGGGAUAUUCUGGGUCUGUCGCAUGAUGGGUCUGGGAAAGAUAUUGUUUCGGUGGGGGAUGGGCUCGCGGCCUAUCAGCUUGUUGGUGGGGUGAUGGCCUACCAAGGCGGUGACGGGUAGCCGGCCUGAGAGGGUGGACGGUCACACUGGGACUGAGACACGGCCCAGACUCCUACGGGAGGCAGCAGUGGGGAAUAUUGCACAAUGGGCACAAGCCUGAUGCAGCGACGCCGCGUGAGGGAUGGAGGCCUUCGGGUUGUGAACCUCUUUCGCCAGUGAAGCAGGCCUGCCUCGUUUGUGGGUGGGUUGACGGUAGCUGGAGAAGAAGCGCCGGCUAACUACGUG
rnacentral:rRNA from 1 species